ACUAUUGGAAACGAUAGCUAAUACCGCAUAAGAGUAGAUGUUGCAUGACAUUUGCUUAAAAGGUGCAAUUGCAUCACUACCAGAUGGACCUGCGUUGUAUUAGCUAGUUGGUGGGGUAACGGCUCACCAAGGCGACGAUACAUAGCCGACCUGAGAGGGUGAUCGGCCACACUGGGACUGAGACACGGCCCAGACUCCUACGGGAGGCAGCAGUAGGGAAUCUUCGGCAAUGGACGGAAGUCUGACCGAGCAACGCCGCGUGAGUGAAGAAGGUUUUCGGAUCGUAAAGCUCUGUUGUAAGAGAAGAACGAGUGUGAGAGUGGAAAGUUCACACUGUGACGGUAUCUUACCAGAAAGGGACGGCUAACUACGUGCCAGCAGCCGCGGUAAUACGUAGGUCCCGAGCGUUGUCCGGAUUUAUUGGGCGUAAAGCGAGCGCAGGCGGUUAGAUAAGUCUGAAGUUAAAGGCUGUGGCUUAACCAUAGUACGCUUUGGAAACUGUUUAACUUGAGUGCAAGAGGGGAGAGUGGAAUUCCAUGUGUAGCGGUGAAAUGCGUAGAUAUAUGGAGGAACAC
rnacentral:rRNA from 1 species